rnacentral:rRNA from 1 species
UAAGACGAAGGGGGCUAGCGUUGUUCGGAAUUACUGGGCGUAAAGCGCGUGUAGGCGGUUAUCCAAGUCGGGUGUGAAAGCCUUGAGCUCAACUCAAGAAAUGCACUCGGUACUGGGUGACUAGAGGACCGGAGAGGAUAGUGGAAUUCCCAGUGUAGUGGUGAAAUACGUAGAGAUUGGGAAGAACACCAGUGGCGAAGGCGGCUAUCUGGACGGUUUCUGACGCUAAGACGCGAAAGCGUGGGGAGCAAACAGGAUUAGAUACCCUGGUAGUCCACGCCGUAAACGAUGGAUGCUAGCCGUUGGUGGGUUUACCCUUCAGUGGCGCAGCUAACGCAUUAAGCAUCCCGCCUGGGGAGUACGGUCGCAAGAUUA